rnacentral:rRNA from 1 species
UACGGGGGGGGCAAGCGUUGUUCGGAAUUACUGGGCGUAAAGGGCUUGUAGGUGGCCAACUAAGUCAGACGUGAAAUCCCUCGGCUUAACCGGGGAACUGCGUCUGAUACUGGAUGGCUUGAGUGUGGGAGAGGGAUGCGGAAUUCCAGGUGUAGCGGUGAAAUGCGUAGAUAUCUGGAGGAACACCGGUGGCGAAGGCGGCAUCCUGGACCAUUACUGACGCUGAGGCGCGACAGCGUGGGGAGCAAACAGG